rnacentral:rRNA from 1 species
UACGAAGGGGGCUAGCGUUGCUCGGAAUCACUGGGCGUAAAGCGCACGUAGGCGGAUUGCUAAGUCAGGGGUGAAAUCCUGGAGCUCAACUCCAGAACUGCCCUUGAUACUGGCGGUCUCGAGUCCGGGAGAGGUGAGUGGAACUGCGAGUGUAGAGGUGAAAUUCGUAGAUAUUCGCAAGAACACCAGUGGCGAAGGCGGCUUACUGGUCCGGUUCUGACGCUGAGGCGCGAAAGCGUGGGGAGCAAACAGG